UAGGGAAUCUUCGGCAAUGGACGAAAGUCUGACCGAGCAACGCCGCGUGAGUGAAGAAGGUUUUCGGAUCGUACAACUCUGUUGUUAGAGAAGAACAAGGACGUUAGUAACUGAACGUCCCCUGACGGUAUCUAACCAGAAAGCCACGGCUAACUACGUGCCAGCAGCCGCGGUAAUACGUAGGUGGCAAGCGUUGUCCGGAUUUAUUGGGCGUAAAGCGAGCGCAGGCGGUUUCUUAAGUCUGAUGUGAAAGCCCCCGGCUCAACCGGGGAGGGUCAUUGGAAACUGGGAGACUUGAGUGCAGAAGAGGAGAGUGGAAUUCCAUGUGUAGCGGUGAAAUGCGUAGAUAUAUGGAGGAACACCAGUGGCGAAGGCGGCUCUCUGGUCUGUAACUGACGCUGAGGCUCGAAAGCGUGGGGAGCAAACAGG
rnacentral:rRNA from 1 species